AGCCACAACCCGUCUCUGGGAAACAUCCACUCAAGAUCUAAUGAAGGGCAAAACUGAAAUUCGUUGGUGGUUUGGCAAACAUUUACUUGCUGAAAUGGAUGGGAUAAACGACAGCAUCGUUGUACAUGAUGAAGUGUUUAACGGGACAUUCAGAAACCGACUGAAGGUGGACAAUCAGACCAGAUCUCUGACCAUUACAAACUUCACUUUUGAAGAUGUUGGAAAUUAUGAAAUGCUAACCAUGCCACCAAUGAGGAUCACUUUUAUCCUUACUGUCUACACUCGUCUGCCUGUUCCUGUCCUCAUCAGAAACUCAUCUUCAUCCCAGUAUAAUUGUUCAGUGUUGUGUUCAGUGGUGAAUGUGAGCGCUGUGAGUCUCUCCUGGUACAAAGGAAACAGUGUAUUGUCCAGCAUCAGUGUGUCUGAUCUCAGCAUCAGUCUCUCUCUACCUCUGGAGGUGGAAUAUCAGGAUAACAACACCUACAGCUGUGUGAUCAACAACCCCAUCAGCAACCAGACCACACAUCUGGACAUCAACACACUCUGUCAGACGUCUGAAGGUAUAGAAGUGCUAUGCCUAUUGCUGUGGUCCUACUGAAGCUGUGAUCCGAUUGGUCCUCUCUGCUCUGGUGGGCAUGGCUACUGUCAUUAUUGUGGUCUAUGACGUCAAAUCCAGAAGAGCAGAAGACACUCAAGCACAUAUCCACACAUCAGAAACCCUAAUAAGUUAAUUUCUGAAUUUUUAAUGCAAUUUUUGUGAGGUUUCAAAAUCUAAAGAGGCUGUCAGAUUAGCAUCAAAGGUGUUUUUGUUGUAAUAAAUAAAGAUUGUUACUUAAGCUUGUACCUUAACUUGUGUAUUAUUAUUUUACAUAAAGGCUUUUGUUUUUAAAAAUGUAUAUGAAUAGAG
ensembl:processed_transcript